GAUGAACGCUGGCGGUAUGCUUAACACAUGCAAGUCGAACGGACUCUUCGGAGUUAGUGGCGGACGGGUGAGUAACGCGUGAGAAUCUGGCUUUGGGUUCGGGACAACCACUGGAAACGGUGGCUAAUACCGGAUGCGCCGAGAGGUAAAAGAGAAAUUGCCUGAAGAUGAGCUCGCGUCUGAUUAGCUAGUUGGUGAGGUAAAGGCUCACCAAGGCAGCGAUCAGUAGCUGGUCUGAGAGGAUGACCAGCCACACUGGGACUGAGAGACGGCCCAGACUCCUACGGGAGGCAGCAGUGGGGAAUUUUCCGCAAUGGGCGAAAGCCUGACGGAGCAAUACCGCGUGAGGGAAGAAGGCUCUUGGGUUGUAAACCUCUUUUCUUAGGGAAGAACAAAAUGACGGUACCUAAGGAAUCAGCAUCGGCUAACUCCGUG
rnacentral:rRNA from 1 species